rnacentral:rRNA from 1 species
CGAUGGUAGGAUAGAGGCCUACCAUGGUGGUAACGGGUAACGGGGUGUUAGGGCACGACACCGGAGAGGGAGCCUGAGAAACGGCUACCACAUCCAAGGAUGGCAGCAGGCGCGCAAAUUACCCAAUCCCGACACGGGGAGGUAGUGACAAUAAAUAACAAUACGGGGUUCUUUCGGAUCUCGUAAUUGGAAUGAGUACAAUUUAAAUCUCUUAACGAGGAACAAUUGGAGGGCAAGUCUGGUGUCAGCAGCCGCGGUAAUUCCAGCUCCAAUAGCGUAUAUUAAAGUUGUUGCAGUUAAAAAGCUCGUAGUUGAAUUUCGGGAUCAAUAUGUCGGUCGUGCCUCGGUACGUACUGGCGUAAUUGGUUUCUCCCUUCUGAAGAACCGCGAUGUCAUUAAUUUGGUGUCGUGGGGAAUCAGGACUGUUACUUUGAAAAAAUUAGAGUGUUUAAAGCAGGCUCGCACUUGAAUACAUUAGCAUGGAAUAAUGAAAUAGGACGUUUGAUUCCAUUUUGUUGGUUUCUAGGAUUGACGUAAUGAUUAAUAGGGAUAGUUGGGGGCAUUAGUAUUCAAUUGUCAGAGGUGAAAUUCUUGGAUUUAUUGAAGACUAACUACUGCGAAAGCAUUUGCCAAGGAUGUUUUCAUUAAUCAAGAACGAAAGUUAGGGGAUCGAAGACGAUCAGAUACCGUCGUAGUCUUAACCAUAAACUAUGCCGACUAGGGAUCGGAUGAUGUUGAUUUUUUAAUGACUCAUUCGGUGCCUUACGGGAACA